rnacentral:rRNA from 1 species
CUCGUAGGCGGUUCGUCGCGUCCGGUGUGAAAGUCCAUCGCUUAACGGUGGAUCCGCGCCGGGUACGGGCGGGCUUGAGUGCGGUAGGGGAGACUGGAAUUCCCGGUGUAACGGUGGAAUGUGUAGAUAUCAGGAGGAACACCGGUGGCGAAGGCGGGUCUCUGGGCCGUUACUGACGCUGAGGAGCGAAAGCGUGGAGAGCGAACA